UACGUAGGGUGCAAGCGUUAAUCGGAAUUACUGGGCGUAAAGCGUGCGCAGGCGGCUUUGCAAGACAGAUGUGAAAUCCCCGGGCUUAACCUGGGAACUGCAUUUGUGACUGCAUGGCUGGAGUGCGGCAGAGGGGGAUGGAAUUCCGCGUGUAGCAGUGAAAUGCGUAGAGAUGUGGAGGAACACCGAUGGCGAAGGCAGCCCCCUGGGCUGAGAUUGACGCUGAGUGCACGAAAGCGUGGGGAGCAAACAGG
rnacentral:rRNA from 1 species